rnacentral:rRNA from 1 species
AUUGAACGCUGGCGGCAGGCCUAACACAUGCAAGUCGAGCGGAGCGGCGGACGGGUGAGUAAUGCCUAGGAAUCUGCCUGGUAGUGGGGGAUAACGUCCGGAAACGGGCGCUAAUACCGCAUACUAUCAGACGAGCCUAGGUCGGAUUAGCUAGUUGGUGGGGUAAAGGCCUACCAAGGCGACGAUCCGUAACUGGUCUGAGAGGUUGAUGAGUCACACUGUAACUUAGACACGGUCCAGACUCAUACGGGCGGCAGCAGUGGGGAAUAUUGGACAAUGGGAGAAAUACUGCUCAAGCCAUGCCGCGUGGGUUAAGAAGGUCUUCGGAUUGUAAAGCACUUUAAGUUGGGAGGCGUUACCAACAGAAUAAGCACCGGCUAACUUCGUGCCAGCAGCCGCGGUAAUUC